rnacentral:rRNA from 1 species
UGGGGAAUAUUGCGCAAUGGGCGAAAGCCUGACGCAGCCACGCCGCGUGAGCGAUGAAGGUCUUCGGAUCGUAAAGCUCUGUGGGGAGAGAAGAACAAAGCCGGUGAAGAGCCGGCCUUGACGGUAUCUCCUUAGCAAGCACCGGCUAACUCCGUGCCAGCAGCCGCGGUAAUACGGAGGGUGCAAACGUUGCUCGGAAUCAUUGGGCGUAAAGCGCACGUAGGCGGCCAGACAAGUUGGAUGUGAAAGCCCCAGGCUCAACCUGGGACGUGCAUUCAAAACUGUUUGGCUUGAGUUCCGGAGGGGCCCAGAGAAUUCCCGGUGUAGAGGUGAAAUUCGUAGAUAUCGGGAGGAAUACCAGUGGCGAAGGCGCUGGGCUGGACGGAAACUGACGCUGAGGUGCGAAAGCGUGGGGAGCAAACAGG